AUAAUCACCCGGGAGGGGAGUUACCAUGAUCAAGAAGGUAGUUUCCCCAGGGUGAACCUCCUCUUAUUGCACACUUUGGUUGGGUUGUACUUCCCCAAAUGUGUGAAAUUCAACUGUAUAAGUUAUGGUAGUGGGGGACUGUAUUUCUGCAGUUUUUCA